rnacentral:rRNA from 1 species
UAGGGAAUCUUCCGCAAUGGACGCAAGUCUGACGGAGCAACGCCGCGUGAGUGAAGAAGGAUUUCGGUUCGUAAAACUCUGUUGUUAGAGAAGAACAGCGCAUAGAGUAACUGUUAUGCGUGUGACGGUAUCUAACCAGAAAGCCACGGCUAACUACGUGCCAGCAGCCGCGGUAAUACGUAGGUGGCAAGCGAUGUCCGGAUUUAUUGGGCGUAAAGCGAGCGCAGGCGGUCAAUUAAGUCUGAUGUCAAAGACCCCGGCUCAACCGGGGAGCGUCAUUGGAAACUGGUUGACUUGAGUGCAGAAGAGGAGAGUGUAAUUCCAUGUGUAGCGGUAAAAUGCGUAGAUAUAUGGAGGAACACCAGUGGCGAAGGCGACUCUCUGGUCUGUACCUGACGCUGCGGCUCGAAAGCGUGGGUAUCAAACAGG